rnacentral:rRNA from 1 species
CCUACGGGGGGCAGCAGUGGGGAAUAUUGGGCAAUGGGCGCAAGCCUGACCCAGCAACGCCGCGUGAAGGAAGAAGGCUUUCGGGUUGUAAACUGCUUUUAUAAGCGAGAAAUAUGAUGGUAACUUAUGAAUAAGGAUCGGCUAACUACGUGCCAGCAGCCGCGGUCAUACGUAGGAUCCGAGCAUUAUCCGGAGUGACUGGGUGUAAAGAGUUGCGUAGGUGGCAUAAUAAGUAGCUAGUGAAAUCUGGUGGCUCAACCAUUCAGACUAUUAGCUAAACUGUUAAGCUCGAGACCGUUAGGGGUAACUGGAAUUUCUAGUGUAGGAGUGAAAUCCGUAGAUAUUAGAAGGAACACCAAUAGCGUAGGCAGGUUGCUGGGACGGUUCUGACACUAAGGCACGAAAGCGUAGGGAGCAAACGGGAUUAGAUACCCGGGUAGUC